CCCUUAGAUGUUCUGGGCCGCACGCGCGCUACACUGAUGCAUUUAACGAGUCUAAAACCUGGUCUGAUAGGGCUGGGUAAUCUUUUGAAAGUGCAUCGUGAUUGGGAUAGAUGAUUGCAAUUCUUCAUCUUCAACGAGGAAUGCCUAGUAAACGCAAGUCAUCAGCUUGCAUUGAUUACGUCCCUGCCCUUUGUACACACCGCCCGUCGCUCCUACCGAUUGAAUGAUCCGAUGAAUACCAUGGAUUGAGAGUACGAAUGGGUUCGCUCAUUUCUGCUGCUCGAGAAGUGGAGUAAAUCUUAUCAUUUAGAGGAAGGAGAAGUCGUAACA
rnacentral:rRNA from 1 species